GAUGAACGCUAGCGGGAGGCUUAACACAUGCAAGUCGAGCGGGAAGGGUAGCAAUACCCUGAGAGCGGCGCACGGGUGCGUAACGCGUAUGCAACCUGCCUUAUACAGGGGGAUAGCCCAUGGAAACGUGGAUUAAUAUCCCAUAGGACUUAUGGAUCGCAUGGUUUAUAAGUUAAAACUACGGUGGUAUAAGCUGGGCAUGCGUCUGAUUAGGUAGUUGGUAGGGUAACGGCCUACCAAGCCGACGAUCAGUAGGGGUUCUGAGAGGAUUACCCCCCACACUGGUACUGAGACACGGACCAGACUCCGACGGGAGGCAGCAGUGAGGAAUAUUGGUCAAUGGGCGAGAGCCUGAACCAGCCAUCCCGCGUGCAGGAUGACGGCCCUAUGGGUUGUAAACUGCUUUUCUGCUCCAAGAAACCUGAUUACGUGUAAUCAGUUGACGGUAGAGUAGGAAUAAGCAUCGGCUAACGCCGUGCCAGCAGCCGCAGUAAGAC
rnacentral:rRNA from 1 species